ACUUUUGUAGCUCAGUGGUUAGAGCAUGAUGCUUGUAAUGUCAGGGUAUGAUUCACGGAACCACCCAAAAGUA
rfam:Salmo salar isolate Sally breed double haploid chromosome ssa13, whole genome shotgun sequence.